UCUUAACACUAUAGGUAGUACCACAAAACCAAUAUAUACUGGCGGUCUUCAUAAACUAGAGAAACUCGCUCUAUAAUCGUAAAUACCCGUUAAUUUUUACUAGAUUUAAUUAUAGCUUAUAUACCGCCGUUUAGAUUUUUUACACUAAUAAUUCUAUUCCCCACAAGGACAUAAAUCAGGUCAAGGUGUAGCUCAUGAUCUAGAAAGAGUAAGUUACAAUAAAUAAAAUUUAAGGACCUGAAAUAAACACUAAACCGAAAGAGAAUUUAUAUGUACAUAAAAAUCAAAACUUUAUAUUGAACUAACUUAUGAAUGAUGC
rnacentral:rRNA from 1 species